GUCUCUGUGGUGAAAUCGGUUAGCGCGUUCGGCUGCUAAAACAAAAGUUUGGUGGUUCGAGACCACCCAGGGACC
rnacentral:tRNA from 1 species